rnacentral:rRNA from 1 species
UGGGGGUGAAAGGCCAAUCAAACCGGGAGAUAGCUGGUUCUCCCCGAAAGCUAUUUAGGUAGCGCCUCGUGAACUCAUCUUCGGGGGUAGAGCACUGUUUCGACUAGGGGGUCAUCCCGACUUACCAACUCGAUGCAAACUGCGAAUACCGAAGAAUGUUAUCACGGGAGACACACGGCGGGUGCUAACGUCCGUCGUGAAGAGGGAAACAACCCAGACCGCCAGCUAAGGUCCCAAAGUCAUGGUUAAGUGGGAAACGAAGUGGGAAGGCUCAGACAGCCAGGAUGUUGGCUUAGAAGCAGCCAUCAUUUAAAGAAAGCGUAAUAGCUCACUGGUCGAGUCGGCCCGCGCGGAAGAUGUAACGGGGCUAAACCAUGCACCGAAGCUGCGGCAGCGACACAAAGUGUUGUUGGGUAGGGGAGCGUUCUGUAAGCCUGCGAAGGUGUACUGUGAGGUAUGCUGGAGGUAUCAGAAGUGCGAAUGCUGACAUAAGUAACGAUAAUGCGGGUGAAAAACCCGCACGCCGGAAGACCAAGGGUUCCUGUCCAACGUUAAUCGGGGCAGGGUGAGUCGACCCCUAAGGCGAGGCUGAAAAGCGUAGUCGAUGGGAAACGGGUUAAUAUUCCCGUACUGGUGGUAACUGCGAUGGGGGAACGGAGAAGGCUAGGUUGUCCGGGCGACGGUCGUCCCGGUUCAAGCAGGUAGGCAGAGUGAUUAGGCAAAUCCGGUCACUUAAUGCUGAGAUGUGAUGACGAACCACCAAGGUGGUGAAGCAAUUGAUGCCCCGCUUCCAGGAAAAGCCUCUAAGCUUCAGGUUACCAACAAUCGUACCCCAAACCGACACAGGUGGUCAGGUAGAGAAUACUCAGGCGCUUGAGAGAACUCGGGUGAAGGAACUAGGCAAAAUGGUGCCGUAACUUCGGGAGAAGGCACGCUGGCGGUAGGUAAAGUCCCUCGCGGACGGCGCUGAAGCCAGUCGAAGAUACCAGCUGGCUGCAACUGUUUAUUAAAAACACAGCACUGUGCAAACACGAAAGUGGACGUAUACGGUGUGACGCCUGCCCGGUGCUGGAAGGUUAAUUGAUGGGGUCAGCCGUAAGGCGAAGCUCCUGAUCGAAGCCCCAGUAAACGGCGGCCGUAACUAUAACGGUCCUAAGGUAGCGAAAUUCCUUGUCGGGUAAGUUCCGACCUGCACGAAUGGCGUAAUGAUGGCCAGGCUGUCUCCACCCGAGACUCAGUGAAAUUGAACUCGCUGUGAAGAUGCAGUGUACCCGCGGCAAGACGGAAAGACCCCGUGAACCUUUACUAUAGCUUGACACUGAACAUUGAGCCUUGAUGUGUAGGAUAGGUGGGAGGCUUUGAAGUGUGGACGCCAGUCUGCAUGGAGCCAACCUUGAAAUACCACCCUUUAACGUUUGAUGUUCUAACCUAGGCCCAUAAACUGGGUCGGGGACCGUGUCUGGUGGGUAGUUUGACUGGGGCGGUCUCCUCCUAAAGAGUAACGGAGGAGCACGAAGGUUGGCUAAGCAUGGUCGGACAUCAUGCGGUUAGUGCAAAGGCAUAAGCCAGCUUGACUGCGAGAGUGACGGCUCGAGCAGGUACGAAAGUAGGUCUUAGUGAUCCGGUGGUUCUGAAUGGAAGGGCCAUCGCUCAACGGAUAAAAGGUACUCCGGGGAUAACAGGCUGAUACCGCCCAAGAGUUCAUAUCGACGGCGGUGUUUGGCACCUCGAUGUCGGCUCAUCACAUCCUGGGGCUGAAGUAGGUCCCAAGGGUAUGGCUGUUCGCCAUUUAAAGUGGUACGCGAGCUGGGUUUAGAACGUCGUGAGACAGUUCGGUCCCUAUCUGCCGUGGGCGUUGGAAGAUUGAGAGGGGUUGCUCCUAGUACGAGAGGACCGGAGUGAACGCACCACUGGUGUUCGGGUUGUCAUGCCAAUGGCAUUGCCCGGUAGCUAAGUGCGGAAGAGAUAACCGCUGAAAGCAUCUAAGCGGGAAACUUGCCUCGAGAUGAGUCUUCCCUGUCGCUUUAAGCGACCUAAAGGAACGUUUAAGACUAAGACGUUGAUAGGCUGGGUGUGUAAGCGUAGCGAUACGUUGAGCUAACCAGUACUAAUGAACCGUGAGGCUUAACCUG